rnacentral:rRNA from 1 species
UACGUAGGGUGCAAGCAUUAAUCGGAAUUACUGGGCGUAAAGCGUGCGCAGGCGGCUUUGCAAGACAGAUGUGAAAUCCCCGGGCUUAACCUGGGAACUGCAUUUGUGACUGCAUGGCUGGAGUGCGGCAGAGGGGGAUGGAAUUCCGCGUGUAGCAGUGAAAUGCGUAGAUAUGCGGAGGAACACCGAUGGCGAAGGCAAUCCCCUGGGCCUGCACUGACGCUCAUGCACGAAAGCGUGGGGAGCAAACAGG